rnacentral:rRNA from 1 species
GUUGCCUACGGGACGCAGCAGUAGGGAAUAUUGCUCAAUGGGGGGAACCCUGAUCCAGCGACGCCGCGUGAGUGAAGAAGUAUUUCGGUAUGUAAAGCUCUAUCAGCAGGGAAGAAAGAAAUGACGGUACCUGACUAAGAAGCCCCGGCUAACUACGUGCCAGCAGCCGCGGUAAUACGUAGGGGGCAGGCGUUAUCCGGAUUUACUGGGUGUAAAGGGAGCGUAGACGGCGAUGCAAGUCUGAAGUGAAAGGCGGGGGCCCAACCCCCGGACUGCUUUGGAAACUGUAUAGCUGGAGUGCAGGG